rnacentral:tRNA from 2 species
GCCCCCGUUGUCUAAUGGUUAUGACGUCAGACUUCUAAUCUGGAGGCUGCGGGUUCGAGUCCCGCCGGAGGCU